UACGUAGGGUGCAAGCGUUGUCCGGAAUUAUUGGGCGUAAAGAGCUCGUAGGCGGUCUGUCGCGUCUGCUGUGAAAACUCGGGGCUUAACCCCGGGCCUGCAGUGGGUACGGGCAGACUAGAGUGCGGUAGGGGAGACUGGAAUUCCUGGUGUAGCGGUGAAAUGCGCAGAUAUCAGGAGGAACACCGGUGGCGAAGGCGGGUCUCUGGGCCGUAACUGACGCUGAGGAGCGAUAGCAUGGGGAGCGAACGGG
rnacentral:rRNA from 1 species